rnacentral:rRNA from 1 species
GACGAACGCUGGCGGUGUGCCUAACACAUGCAAGUCGAACGGUAAGGCCCUUUCGGGGGUACACUAGUGGUGAACGGGGGAGUAACACGUGAGUAACCUUCCCCCACCUCUGGGACAACAGUCGGAACCGGUUGCUAAUACUGGUUAUGCGCUUUCAAGGCAUCUUGUGGGUUGGAAAGAUUUUUUUUGGUUGGGGAUGGACUCGCGGCCUAUCCGCUUGUUGUUGGGGUAGUGGUACAGCAAGGCCUCGACGGGUAGCCGGCCCGAGUGUGCGGACGGCCCGGUUGGGACUGGGAUGCGGGCCAAACUACGACAGGAGGCGGCAGUGGGGAAUAUUGGACAAUGGACAGAAGUCUGAGGCAGCAAAGGCGCGUGCGGGAUAAAGGCCUUCGGGUUGUAAACAGCUGUCAAUUGUGAAGAAGCUUUUUUGUGACGGUAGCAAUAGAAAAAGCAACGGCUAACUACGUG